ensembl:lncRNA
AUUAUGGUACAUCUGCAAAAUAUGGUAAAGUGCAAAUUGGUUUUAAUUUGGCAGUAAAAACAGUUUGAACUGUUUACUUUAGUUUAAAUAUAAAAAUCUAUUUACCUUGUAAUUUUCUACUCUAAUAACUGAAGGCCAACCUGAUGGGGUCAUACCAGGAGUUGGCACAGGAAGUGGCACCACAGGAGCUGGUACAGGGACUGGAACCACAGGAACUGGAACCACAGGAGUUGGUACAGGAACUGGUACUACAGGGACUAGAACAACAGGAUCUAUUGGGGCUGGCACAGGAAUUAGACCCACAGCAAUUGGACCUACAGGAGCUGAUACAGGAAGUGGUACUUCAGGAAAUGGCACCAGUACAGGAGGUGUUGGGGGAACAGUUGGAUCAAGUGGUGAGGUUCUGUGUAAAGUUUAAAAACGUUUAUAUAUCAUUCCAAAAUAAGUACAAAAAUGUGCUGAACUGUGUCUGUUGCAUCAGGUGGGGGACCUGAAUCCACAGGAAGCACAGCAGCUCCAGGAUCAGAAGGUGACAGGGCUGUGAUUGAGGGAUCUGGAAGUUCUGGUGGAGAAGGCAAGUGAACCUAUCUGAUCUACAGACAUUUAUUCCACUUUCCACCACCCAGAGACAUUACCUCUAUAAAAACUCGUAAAACAACCCCUAAAUGUAUGAAAACAUAAUGCAUUCUAUAUUUAAAUAGGAGACACUAGUGUAGCUGGCAGCCCGACCGGUGCAGGAGGUGAUGGAGAUCGACUGGGUGGAGCAGGAAUCCCAAUUAUUGGUGCAAAACCAGGUAAGUUCAUGCUUCACAUUUAAAAUGCAUGUAAAAUGUAUCUGCCUACAUUUGAUCGAAAAUGGUUUUUAAACUGUACCACAGGUAGAGAAUGUUUUCAUAUCAUCCUAAAGGUCCUGUUGUAUCUUCUUUAUCAAACAGGACUCAAUGGGACCACCAUUUCAGGGACUGGUGACAGGACAAGUGUGAUUCUACCGGGAGCCAAACCCCUCAAACCCCCAGGUGUUCCCAGAGGAGACACACCAGGUGAGGGAGAUGGAGAAGGAGGCCCUGAUGGAGAGAGGGAGGGUACUAUUGGCAUAGCUGGAGGUCCUACUGGUGCAGGAACACCUGGAAGUGUUUCAGGUGGAGUGGCGGGAACUGGAGAAGGAGGAAGCCCUGCAGCAGGAGGAACACCAAUGCCACAUAAAGAACAUGGAGCUGAUGGAACAACAGGAGGAGGUAGUGGCAGUGCAGGUGGAGUGACGGGUGGGGUCAGCACUGGUCCUGGGUCUGUUGGAGGGGGUCCGGGAAGUGUCGGAGGUGGGACAGGAGCAGGUGGUUUGGUACCAGGUGGAGGAGGUGCAGGAAUUGUUAAACCUGGAAAAAGUUAUGGAGCAGGUGGAGCUGGAGUUUUGCCAGCUGGAGGUAAUGUAACAGUUCCCACCUGGAUUGAGCAAGUUAUCAGACACUGAAGUUUUACAGUUUAUUUGUUUUCCCUUUCAGGUGUUCGUUAUCCGACUGGAGCGGGAGUAGGAGCCGGAAAACCAGGAAAAGGUUCAAAGAGCUAUCAAACG